GGCGGCAUAGCCAAGUGGUAAGGCAAGGGUCUGCAACACCCGUAUCCCCAGUUCAAGUCUGGGUGCCGCCU
rfam:Anaerofustis stercorihominis DSM 17244 Scfld_02_4 genomic scaffold, whole genome shotgun sequence.